rnacentral:rRNA from 1 species
UACGUAGGGUGCGAGCGUUGUCCGGAAUUAUUGGGCGUAAAGAGCUCGUAGGCGGUCUGUCGCGUCGAUCGUGAAAACUUGGGGCUUAACCCUGAGCUUGCGGUCGAUACGGGCAUGACUGGAGUUCGGCAGGGGAGACUGGAAUUCCUGGUGUAGCGGUGAAAUGCGCAGAUAUCAGGAGGAACACCGGUGGCGAAGGCGGGUCUCUGGGCCGUAACUGACGCUGAGGAGCGAAAGCGUGGGGGAGCGAAACAGG